AUGAUGAGCCCAGGGAUGCCUGCAGUGCCUGGGGCCAGGGAGCUCACCCUGCCAGGCUGGCACCCCCAGACAGCAGCAGGGAGCUUUGCAAGCAGGGAAAAGGCCUUCCAGGCACAGAACAAGAGCAAAGUAUCUCCGAAGGACUCGAGACCUUGUGGCUACGGACACACAGUGCAGAGCUCCUGGUGUGAAACAUCCCACACACGAGUGAUAAACAUCCUGAAUUCCCACAAAAGACAGCUCAGCCUGACCUGUCUGAUGCCAUGAGGAGCUGAUGGAAGCCUUAACACUUCGAGGAGAGUUCAAGACGAUUUUACGGAAGCACGCCUUGGGGAAAUUGAAAUGUCAAGCAUAAUUUGGCACUUGAAACAUGAAGGGGAGAGACUUUGCAUUUGUUUUCAUCUGCAUCUUCCCCUCCUCUGAACUGUACAUGCUCCAUUUCCCGCUCUUCCCUAAGCUUUCAUUAGGCAGUGCUGAAAUCUGCUGGAUUUGAGGAAUCUCUGAGGAUAAACAAGUAUCUGGCAUUAACCUGCUCUGUAAAAGUCAAAUUGACAUGUCUCACUAUUCUUCCAUUCUUGUUAGGGAAACUAGUCCAAAUCAAGCUUUUCCCCUGUUAUCUUUUUUUUCCCAUCCAUUCAUUUGAUCUUUCAUGUAAGACUUGAGGAUUACUGCUCACUAGUCCAAUUCUUAAUAGAUAGGGA
rnacentral:lncRNA from 1 species